CAUGCAGGCGGUUACAUAAGUCAGGUGUGGAAUCCCCGCGCUUAACGUGGGCAUUGCAUUUGAAACUAUGUAGCUAGAGUUCUGUAGAGGGGGGUAGAAUUCCAGGUGUAGCGGUGAAAUGCGUAGAGAUCUGGAGGAACACCAGUGGCGAAGGCGGCUCACUGGCUCGAUACUGACGCUGAGGUGCGAAAGCGUGGGGAGCAAACAGGAUUAGAUACCCCAGUA
rnacentral:rRNA from 1 species